rnacentral:rRNA from 1 species
CUACGGGUGGCAGCAGUGGGGAAUAUUGGACAAUGGGCGAAAGCCUGAUCCAGCCAUGCCGCGUGUGUGAAGAAGGCCUUCGGGUUGUAAAGCACUUUCAGUGGGGAAGAAAGCCUUGGGGCUAAUACCCUCGAGGAAGGACAUCACCCACAGAAGAAGCACCGGCUAACUCCGUUCCAGCAGCCGCGGUAAUACGGAGGGUGCGAGCGUUAAUCGGAAUUACUGGGCGUAAAGCGCGCGUAGGCGGUCUGAUAAGCCGGUUGUGAAAGCCCCGGGCUCAACCUGGGAACGGCAUCCGGAACUGUCAGGCUAGAGUGCAGGAGAGGAAGGUAGAAUUCCCGGUGUAGCGGUGAAAUGCGUAGAGAUCGGGAGGAAUACCAGUGGCGAAGGCGGCCUUCUGGACUGACACUGACGCUGAGGUGCGAAAGCGUGGGUAGCAAACAGGAUUAGAUACCCCAGUAGUC